rnacentral:miRNA from 1 species
UAUGUAUUGUGUAUCGUGUAUU